GAUGAANGCCNGNNGGNGGNGCCUAUACANNCAAGUNGAACGCUGGAGAUCUAGNCUUGCUAGAUNGAAGNAGUGGCGAACGGGUGAGUAAUACAUAAGCAACCUACCCACGAAGACUGGGAUAAUCUCUGGAAACGGGGACUAAUACCGGAUAGGUAAUCGGAAGGCAUCUUCUGAUUAUUAAAGGUUAAAAACACUGGUGGAUGGGCUUAUGGCGCAUUAGUUAGUUGGUGAGGUAACGGCCCACCAAGACGAUGAUGCGUANCCGGCCUGAGAGGGUGAACGGCCACAUUGGGACUGAGACACGGCCCAGACUCCUACGGGAGGCAGCAGUAGGGAAUUUUCGGCAAUGGGGGAAACCCUGACCGAGCAACGCCGCGUGAGUGAUGACGGCCUUCGGGUUGUAAAGCUCUGUUGUAAGGGAAGAACGGUAGAUAGAGAAUAUCUAAGUGACGGUACCUUACCAGAAAGCCACGGCUAACUACGUGCCAGCAGCCGCGGUAAUACGUAGGUGGCGAGCGUUAUCCGGAAUUAUUGGGCGUAAAGGGUGCGUAGGCGGCCUGUUAAGUAAGUGGUUAAAUUGUUGGGCUCAACCCAAUCCAGCCACUUAAACUGGCAGGCUAGAGUAUUGGAGAGGCAAGUGGAAUUCCAUGUGUAGCGGUAAAAUGCGUAGAUAUAUGGAGGAACACCAGUGGCGAAGGCGGCUUGCUAGCCAAAGGCUGACGCUCAUGCACGAAAGCGUGGGGAGCAAAUAGG
rnacentral:rRNA from 1 species